UCCUGUAGUGGAUGCUGUGGGGGCACCACCUCCUUGAGGACCAAGGCACUCCAGCUGCCAGGAAUAUUGGCUGCUAACCUCACACAGCUGAGCCUUCCAUGAAAAUUGCUCUCUGCCAAAGAGAACUUCCUAGUCCAAGGUCAUGUCUACUCUCCAGAGAUGUGACUGGAGUGAUUUGCACCCGGAUGCCUAGACUCGCCAUCUGCUCAAAGAUUGCUCAGAAAGCCCUCUCAUGCAUUCCCCUGCUGCAUACCAGCCCAUUCUGCCUGCAGCUGCUGUCUGCAGGACUUCACAUCUACGCCACACUGUUUAAAAGCUGUGCUUCAAGAAAUCACAAAAACAUAUGACUGCACCUACUACACAGCCUAAAUGCGGCAUAAGUUGACCUUGCUUUCUAAGAAGUGGGGCAAGAAAAGAAGUGGGGCAAGAAAUGCUUUUUUGUGUGUGUCAUGUCUGUUUUUCAAUUAAGAGAGGAAAGCAUUAGGCAGAUGGAAUGUACAUGUGAGGAUGAGGAGACAGAAAACAAGUAGCCCUUUCCAUCAAGAUAAAGAGUUUUCUGGGGUCGCUGGCUCUUGAAUGUCACUCCUGAUUUCUCUUUCCAAGGCACUGUACCACCAGCCUACUGAGAUUGUGUGGGAGCUUUCAUGGGGGUUAUAUUUCACUAAUGGAAAUAAAUUUUGUGCAUAAUCUGAA